CACCGACCCGGCAACGGGGCGGGAUGAGGUGGGAGAAGUCAGCCGAGGCCGUAGUAGUCGGUAGCCACCGACGAAGGGC
rfam:Singulisphaera acidiphila DSM 18658, complete genome.